rnacentral:rRNA from 1 species
UAGGGAAUCUUCGGCAAUGGACGAAAGUCUGACCGAGCAACGCCGCGUGAGUGAAGAAGGUUUUUGGAUCGUAAAACUCUGUUGUUAGAGAAGAACAAGGACGUUAGUAACUGAACGUCCCCUGACGGUAUCUAACCAGAAAGCCACGGCUAACUACGUGCCAGCAGCCGCGGUAAUACGUAGGUGGCAAGCGUUGUCCGGGUUUAUUGGGCGUAAAGCGAGCGCAGGCGGUUUCUUAAGUCGGAUGUGAAAGCCCCCGGCUCAACCGGGGAGGGACAUUAGAGACUGGGAGACUUGAGUGCAGAAGAGGAGAGUAGAAUUCCAUGUGUAGCGGUGAAAUGCGUAGAUAUAUGGAGGAACACCAGUGGCGAAGGCGGCUCUCUGGUCUGUAACUGACGCUGAGGCUCGAAAGCGUGGGGGGCAAACAGG